AGAGUUUGAUCAUGGCUCAGGACGAACGCUGGCGGCGUGCCUAACACAUGCAAGUCGAACGGGGCUCUUUGGAUCGAGACUUCGGUCAAGUGAAUCUGAGCUUAGUGGCGGACGGGUGAGUAACGCGUGAGCAACCUGCCUUUCAGAGGGGGACAACAGUUGGAAACGACUGCUAAUACCGCAUAACGUGUCGAGGAGGCAUCUCCUUGACACCAAAGAUUUAUCGCUGAAAGAUGGGCUCGCGUCUGAUUAGCUAGUUGGUGGGGUAGCGGCCUACCAAGGCGACGAUCAGUAGCCGG
rnacentral:rRNA from 1 species